AGCAGCCGCGGUAAUUCCAGCUCCAAUAGCGUAUAUUAAAGUUGUUGCAGUUAAAAAGCUCGUAGUUGAAUUUCGGGGUUCAUACGUUGGUCGGGCUUUUUGGUCUGUACUAGCGUAAUGGAUUCCUACCUUCUGAAUAACCGGCAUGCCAUUAAUUUGGUGCGCCGGGGAAGCAGGACUGUUACCUUGAAAAAUUAGAGUGCUUAAAGCAGGCUAUCGCCUGAAUACAUUAGCAUGGAAUAAUGAAAUAGGACGGCAUGGUUCUAUUUUGUUGGUUUCUAGGAUCACCGUAAUGAUUAAUAGGGAUAGUUGGGGCAUUAGUAUUCAAUUGUCAGAGGUGAAAUUCUUGGAUUUAUUGAAGACUAACUUCUGCGAAAGCAUUUGCCAAGGAUGUUUUCAUUAAUACAAGAACGAAAGUUAGGGGAUCGAAGACGAUCAGAUACCGUCGUAGUCUUAACCAUAAACUAUAG
rnacentral:rRNA from 1 species